rnacentral:rRNA from 1 species
UGCAAGUCACGGGGGUCCCGCAAGGGAUAACCGGCGAACGGGUGCGUAACACGUGAACAACCUGCCCUCGUGUGGGGGAUAGCCGGGCCAACGCCCGGGUAAUACCGCAUACGUUCUCUUUGGGGAGUCCCGAGGAGAGGAAAGCUCCGGCGCACGGGGAGGGGUUCGCGGCCUAUCAGCUAGUUGGCGGGGUAAUGGCCCACCAAGGCGACGACGGGUAGCUGGUCUGAGAGGAUGGCCAGCCACAUUGGGACUGAGAGACGGCCCAGACUCCUACGGGAGGCAGCAGUGGGGAAUCUUGCGCAAUGGUCUAACGACUGACGCAGCGACGCCGCGUGUGGGAGGACGCCUUUCGGGGUGUAAACCACUGUUGCCCGGGACGAACAGCCCUUUUCGAGGGGUCUGACGGUACCGGGUGAGGAAGCACCGGCUAACUCCGUGCCAGCAGCCGCGGUAAUACGGAGGGUGCGAGCGUUGUCCGGAAUCAUUGGGCGUAAAGGGCGCGUAGGUGGCGCAGCAAGCGUGCGGUGAAAGCUCGGGGCUCAACCCCGAGUCGGCCGUGCGAACUGCUGGGCUCGAGCACUGUAGAGGCAGGCGGAAUUCCGGGUGUAGCGGUGGAAUGCGUAGAGAUCCGGAAGAACACCGGUGGCGAAGGCGGCCUGCUGGGCAGUAGCUGACACUGAGGCGCGACAGCGUGGGGAGCAAACAGGAUUAGAUACCCUGGUAGUCCACGCCGUAAACGAUGGGCACUAGGCGCUUGGGGGAGCGACCCCCCGAGGGCCGGCGCUAACGCAUUAAGUGCCCCGCCUGGGGAGUACGGCCGCAAGGCUGAACUCAAAGGAGUUGACGGGGGCCCGCACAAGCGGUGGAGCAUGUGGUUUAAUUCGACGCAACGCGAAGAACUUACCUAGGCUUGACAUACACGGGAAAG